UGUUACAUCCCAAAUUCUAAUACCAUUACCUGAUUCACAGCAGUCACAUGCAUACACAAAUCACACAGUUGUCAAAAUUUUAGGAGGGGGUAUUAUUUUCUCAAACAACUUAAGUACUAUUAUUCAAAUCACUCAACUGCCUUAGAUACAAUUCUUUUCUUAAUUAAACAUUACACAAAACAUUACACAACAAAAUAUACACACAUUUAAACUAACUAGACAUGCUGGUUCAAUAUUCAAACUAUAGUCGAAGAGAAAAGAAACACGGCAACAACAACCCCAGAUGGCUAAGAGGCCCACCCCCACCC
rnacentral:lncRNA from 1 species